rnacentral:rRNA from 1 species
UACGUAGGGUGCAAGCGUUUAAUCGGAAUUACUGGGCGUAAAGCGUGCGCAGGCGGUUUUGUAAGUCUGACGUGAAAUCCCCGGGCUUAACCUGGGAAUUGCGUUGGAGACUGCAAGGCUGGAGUCUGGCAGAGGGGGUAGAAUUCCACGUGUAGCAGUGAAAUGCGUAGAGAUGUGGAGGAACACCGAUGGCGAAGGCAGCCCCCUGGGUCAAGACUGACGCUCAUGCACGAAAGCGUGGGGAGCAAACAGG